rnacentral:rRNA from 1 species
CCUACGGGAGGCAGCAGUGAGGAAUAUUGGUCAAUGGACGAGAGUCUGAACCAGCCAAGUAGCGUGAAGGAUGACUGCCCUAUGGGUUGUAAACUUCUUUUAUAUUGGAAUAAAAUGUUCCACGUGUGGGAUUUUGUAUGUACCAUAUGAAUAAGGAUCGGCUAACUCCGUGCCAGCAGCCGCGGUAAUACGGAGGAUCCGAGCGUUAUCCGGAUUUAUUGGGUUUAAAGGGAGCGUAGGUGGAUUGUUAAGUCAGUUGUGAAAGUUUGCGGCUCAACCGUAAAAUUGCAGUUGAAACUGGCAGUCUUGAGUACAGUAGAGGUGGGCGGAAUUCGUGGUGUAGCGGUGAAAUGCUUAGAUAUCACGAAGAACUCCGAUUGCGAAGGCAGUUCACUGGACUGCAACUGACACUGAGGCUCGAAAGUGUGGGUAUCAAACAGGAUUAGAUACCCCUGUAGUC